rnacentral:misc_RNA from 1 species
CCUUUUUGGGGCUCUCGGCCUCUGCACCGUUCAAAGGUAAGCCCCCUUCUACCAAAACACCACAUCCAUCAUCUCUCAAACCACUGCUAUUAUCACCGUUACUAUCUCCAGAAUCAACGCCAACGGAAGCAAACCCAAUUGGGAUUCUCUGACAGUGAAAUCUAAUGACCCUAUCGAACUCACUCCAAAUCCUUUUAACACUCGAAGUUCCCCGACUACCGAAGCUCAA